CUGUGCAAUCAUGGUUAUACUAAAAUUGCAACGAUACAGAGAAGAUUAGCAUGGCCCCUGCGCAAGGAUGACACGCAAAUUUGUGAAGCGUUCCAUGGUUCA